CAAGAGGUAGGGAUGCUCGGUCAAACUCCUCCAAUCACCUGCGGCGUAAGCUCGGGGUUUCACCCACGAUUGCAAAGCCGCGAACCUGGGCAUCCUCCUCUGUCCCACCCGGACGUGGAUGCAGGGCCGGGCUGUUGGGUGUCAGAGUGAUUAGUACUGGACCCUGGGGUCGGAGAGCUCAGUGUCCGGGUCCUGAGGCGGCCGCUUGCGAGCUGGAUGGGCUUGGGGCACGUGACCUCCCUGCCCCACAGCGGACGAGAUGUUCACUGACCUCACGGCCACGGCGGACACGCAGAGGCUGUGUGAGAGCUUCUGGAUGCACAGAGUGGCGGGCAGAAUGGGAGACCAGGUGCUGAGGGAAAUGCAGCGGAAAACAGUGUUGGCGGAUCGCUCCACACCUGCCGAAUAGACACCUGGGACCCCUGCUGCCCAGCACACGCGCAGAUCGUAACCCAGUGUGCUUUGCGGGAAGAGCAGCGUGGCAGUGCAGAAGGGCCAGAGCCAGCAAACACGGUGACGAGCUCCGAGCCAGGACUCCCAAGGACGCCCAGGGUCCCAAGUGAGAUGGGGCCUCACCUGCCAGGUGCUUCCGUAGUUUAGAGUCAGAAGCAGGCUUACCAACUGUCAGAUGAGACGUGUUCCGCCCUCCCUCCUGACAGACUUGCGCAGCACUUAGAAGGCCAGGCUCGGGUGUGAAGUUCUCAGACUCUGGCCCCCAGGCCCGUCCUGUCCCCGGCUCCUGGGUCACCUGGCAUCGGGAGCGACCUCGUGUGGCUGCGUGUGGGCAGCCCGGCUCCCACGUGCGGACUCGGUCCGCUGACCCAGGGUGCCUCAGCCACCCCUCACGUCCACGUCUGUGCCUACUGCUGGUGAGAAUGGACCUCAGGAGGAGAGAUCCAGAACGCACAUCUGGAGAUGAGCUGGGGGCUGCUGGGGCAGGGGCUCGGGCUCCUGGGAGGGUCCCAGGUCCCUGGAAGAAGGGCUGUGGACUUGAAGUGGGCAGGCUCCUUUGGGGACUCGUCAUCACGUGGGGAGGGACGCAGCCAGAAGGGGCCGGGGGAACGGUCUUGCCUGAUCUGAGUGUGGCUUUGCUUUGAUCACUUCCUUAGAACGUCUCCAAGGAAGAUAAAGGGGGAGAGUUCGGUAGGAUUGAAGAACCCAGGGCACUGCCGUAUAUCUGACAUUGGGGAAAACACACAAACAAAAACAACCCAGUGCCCGAAAGGAGGACGUGUUAAGACAGACAUGGGGAAGCUGUUCAGGGAGAUCGUCCACUACCGGUGCCACCGGGGAGUACCCACACGGCAACACGGGGUGAUCUAAAUAAACAUUAAAGAAAAAUUGAAAUAAACCGAAGAAGAUGUAAUUAGACUGAGAAAUACUGGUGACAUAAGCACAAAGAAUGACAAGUGUGCGAAGUGUUUGUCUGUUGGACGAGUACGCAUCGAACACCUACUAUGUGCUAGGAGGGGAGGAGACAGAACGAAACCAACACCGUCCAUCUUCAUGGAGCUUUGAGUCUGACGGGGAGAUGAACAGUGAAAGUAAGGAAAAAAGAAACUGAGAGGUUCUGCUCUCAUCUAACUGUGUGCGAUCUAGCCGUCACACGCGGGUCUCCCUGGCUCGGCCGGGAGCUCCCGGAGAGCCGCUCAGCUCCUCUCUGUGUCUCCAUCGCCUGGCCCGUGCUUACUGCUCUGAGGUUUUAGAGGAAAGAGUGUGUCCCAUGGAGCGGGCAGAAGGGUUAGAACAACCGGGCAGGAGCAGAAUGUCCAGAGCAAUUGCCGAAUUCUGCAGCGGGGGGGCAGAGGAGAGUUCUCUUACGGGGCCCUCCAGGCACCUGCAGACCAAGGUGGGCAGGCCCAGCGGGUGGACAGCAGCCCUAGUCUGGAGAGGCCACACGGGGCCCCAGAAGCCCGUGUCCUGCGUGAGAGGUACAGCACCUGCCCACCUCCAGGACCGGUACAGAUCUAGGACCAGCUCAGACGCCCGCAGGGGUAGAGGGCCACGAGUGGUGGCCUCCCGUUCAGGAAGUGCCUCAAAUUUAGACUUGGGGUUGUCUCUCAACGAGGUUAUAAAUACGGACACGGAGAAACACCAGUGGGAUUGGAGAAAAAAAAAGCUUAAUGGUUUCGUGCCUGUGUGUCAUGACCAGACUAUAUUGCUUCCCACGUAUUGUGACACUUUUGUAAAUAAAUCCUGUCGUUGUCUGGGAGUUACCGUGAUCCGGUCGCACUGUCGUUGGUUGAUGCAAAACGUUUAAUGUAGAUGUUCUUUUCUUGUAUCAAAAAACAUACUGGAGUCCUCAAACACGAGUCCGGUUUAAGUCUCUCUUGAUUCUGAUUGCACGUUCCAGGGCGAGAAGGCUGCCCGGGGCCCUCAAAACUCUGAAGAAGAGGGGCUCGUGCUUAUUUCCUUCGGGUCAGCUUUGUGUAGGUCGUCUCUGGUGUUAAUUUGGCCCUUGUCGACUUCCCAAAUUAUUAAGGGUGCCAUUAAGAAGAGAAGUUGCUGAGUGGGGAGAACCUUGGGGUCACGCCCCCAGUGUCCCCCCAGGGACCGUGCCUGAGGGGUCAGAUUACAGGAUGUCGCAGAGCUGGGAUGUAGGGGCAGUGCCAGCCCUUGAGUGAUCUCAGCCUUCCGACCGUUUCCUCACCCCGGCCCUUCCCACUGGAGAUUCCGGAAGGGAGGUUUAUGGGCCUGGGGUGGGUGGUCGAGGUCCUGAGACCUGCUGGUCCUGCUGAGGGAGGGCGGUGGGGACUGGCUGGACGCUCUCGGUGCCCCCCCCCCCCCCACACACACACACGUGCAACAGGGAAGAUGCCCUGGCCGUCUGUAGCGGCCUGGGCAGCCGGGCAUUCCGCUUUGCAGAAAGUCGCCCCGUCCCCACACUGGCCCGUCUCCCUGUUGACAUGUUUCCAAGUGCUCUUUCCAUUUGUUGGGUCCCC